GAGAAAAGGCUUCUCCUCCUUCCAUUGCCUGAUAUUUCCCCAUAUCCUUUCUCUAUCUGUGUCUGUCUGUCUCUCUCUCAAGAUUUUCACAUUUCCUUUGUGGGUUUUGAAUUUGAGAAGAGAAGAAGAAAAUGGAUUUGUGGGAUUGUUUUAUUUUCACUGCAAUUUCUCUUGUUUGGGUUCUUGUUUCUCACAGAGGAAAUGCAAGUGAGGAGUGUGAUUUGUUCAAUGGGACUUGGGUGAUAGACGAAGCAUACCCUCUCUACAACUCCUCAUCGUGUCCCUUCAUUGAGAGAGAAUUCAGCUGCCAGAAGAAUGGGCGUCCUGAUUCCUUAUACAACAAAUAUACAUGGAAGCCAUUGGGCUGCGAUUUACAGAGGUUCAAUGGUGUGAAAUUUUUAGAAAGAUUUAGAGGGAAAAGCAUAAUGUUUGUGGGUGAUUCUCUAAGUAGGAAUCAAUGGCAAUCAUUGACAUGCAUGCUUCACUCUUCUGUGCCUAAUGCUAACUACACUAUUGCCAGAGAAGAAGAUGUUUCUGCAUUUACAUUCACGGAUUAUGGAGUUAAAGUAAUGCUGGAUCGCAAUGUGUAUCUGGUGGAUGUUGUACGUGAACCAAUUGGCAGAGUCUUGAAGCUUCAAUCCAUUGAGGGUGGCGAGCUAUGGAAAGGCAUCGAUAUGCUCAUCUUUAAUACUUGGCAUUGGUGGAACCGUAGAGGACCCACUCAACCAUGGGAUUAUAUUCAAAUAGGAAAUGAGAUUAGAAAGGACAUGGAUCGUAUGCUUGCAUUCCAGGAGGCACUCACAACAUGGGGUGGCUGGGUCGAUUCAAAUAUUGAUCCUACCAAAACACUGGUUUUCUUCCAGGGAAUUUCUCCAUCUCAUUAUAAUGGAACUUCGUGGAAUGAACCAAGGGCAAAGAGCUGUGUAGGGCAACAAGAACCUGUGGCAGGCUCAAGAUUUCCAGGAGGACUGCCACCAGCUGUGGAUGUGCUAAAGAGUGCACUGAGAAAGAUUACAAAGCCUGUGAAAUUGCUUGAUAUAACACUCCUUUCUCUGCUACGUAAAGAUGGACACCCUUCAAUUUAUGGGCUUGGAGGACCUACUGCAAUGGACUGCAGCCAUUGGUGUCUUGCUGGUGUUCCUGAU
rnacentral:misc_RNA from 1 species